GAUCCUGGCCCAGGAUGAACGCUGGCGGCGUGCUUAACACAUGCAAGUCGAACGGGAAACCUUUUAUUGAAGCUUCGGCAGAUUUAGCUGGCUUCUAGUGGCGGACGGGUGAGUAACGCGUGGGUAACCUGCCUUAUACCAGGGGGAUAACAACCAGAAAUGGUUGCUAAUACCGCAUAAGCGCACAGGACCGCAUGGUCCGGUGUGAAAAACUCCGGUGGUAUAAGAUGGACCCGCGUUGGAUUAGCUAGUUGG
rnacentral:rRNA from 1 species